rnacentral:rRNA from 2 species
ACCCAGACCGACAGCUAAGGCCCCCAAAUCUAGUCUAAGUGAACACUAGAAAGGAUGUGGCAGGUCAUUGACAACCAGGAGGUUGGCUUAGAAGCAGCCAUCCUUUAAAGAAAGCGUAAUAGCUCACUGGUCAAGACAGGCCGCGCCGAAAAUGUAACGGGGCUCAAGACUAGUGCCGAAGCUUCGGGUCAUGUACGUCAAGCGUACGUGGCGGUAGGGGAGCGUCCCAGUUGCAGCGAAGGUAGACUGAAAAGGCUGCUGGAGCGACUGGGAGUGCUGAUGCCGAAAUGAGUAGCGAUAAAGGGGGUGAGAAACCCCCUCGCCGUAAACCCAAGGUUUCCUGGGUCAAGUUAAUCUUCCCAGGGUUAGCCGGGUCCUAAGCCGAGGCCGAAAGGCGUAGGUGAUGGCAAGCAGGUUAAUAUUCCUGCGCCAUCUUGCAGGCGUUGAACUGAGGGAGGACGGAGAAAGCUAGGCGAGCUGACCGGUGGUUGUGUCAGUCUAAAGACGUAGGGGUGUCGCGUACGAUUAAAGGCGCGGCAGCUAUCCCCGAGAUCCCAUGGCGCCCCGCAAGGGGUAAGUCGCUGAUGCUCUGCUUCCAAGAAAAGUCCCGCAGGGAGUCUGCAGGGUGUCCGUACCGCAAACCGACACAGGUGGGUGAGGAGAAAAUCCUAAGGCGCUUGAGAGAACUCUCCUCCAAGGAACUAGGCAAAUUUCCACCGUAACUUCGGAAGAAGGUGGGCCUCUGGUAGGUGUAGGCGUACAGCCGAAGCCGAGAGAGGUUGCAGAGAAAUGGCGGUAGCGACUGUUUACCAAAAACACAGGACUCUGCGAAGGCGACAAGCCGACGUAUAGGGUCUGACUCCUGCCCGGUGCUGGAAGGUUAAGGGGAUUCGUCAGCCGCAAGGCGAAGCGAUGAUCCGAAGCCCCAGUAAACGGCGGCCGUAACUAUAACGGUCCUAAGGUAGCGAAAUUCCUUGUCGGGUAAGUUCCGACCUGCACGAAUGGAGUAACGACUUCCGCACUGUCUCGGAGAGGGACUCAGCGAAAUUGAAAUAGCUGUGCCGAUGCAGUUUACCCGCAGCAAGACGGAAAGACCCCGUGAACCUUUACUACAACUUGACAGUGACACUAGGGAUUGGCUGUGUAGGAUAGGUGGGAGCCUUUGAAGCCGGGCCGCUAGGUUCGGUGGAGGCAACGGUGAAAUACCACCCUGCUGAUUUCUGGUGUCUAACCAUGUCUCGUCAGCCGGGACUGGGACACUGUCUGGUGGGUAGUUUGACUGGGGCGGUCGCCUCCCAAAAAGUAACGGAGGCGCGCGAUGGUUCCCUCAGCCCGAUUGGAAACCGGGCGUCGAGUGCAAUGGCAUAAGGGAGCUUGACUGCGAGACCGACAGGUCGAGCAGGUGCGAAAGCAGGUCAUAGUGAUCCGGUGGUCCUGAAUGGAAGGGCCAUCGCUCAACGGAUAAAAGGUACUCCGGGGAUAACAGGCUUAUCUCCCCCAAGAGUUCACAUCGACGGGGAGGUUUGGCACCUCGAUGUCGGCUCAUCGCAUCCUGGGGCUGGAGCAGGUCCCAAGGGUUUGGCUGUUCGCCAAUUAAAGCGGUACGCGAGCUGGGUUCAAAACGUCGUGAGACAGUUUGGUCCCUAUCUGCUGUGGGCGUAGGAUACUUGAGAGGCUCUGACCUUAGUACGAGAGGACCGGGUUGGAGGCACCGCUGGUGUACCAGUUGUCUCGCCAGAGGCAUCGCUGGGUAGCCAUGUGCCGAUUGGAUAACCGCUGAAAGCAUCUAAGCGGGAAACCGACCUCAAGACCAGGUAUCCCGGGCGCAAGCCCCUGAAGACUCGUGGAAGACUACCACGUUGAUAGGCUGGGUGUGUAAGCGCGGUAACGCGUUAAGCUAACCAGUACUAAUAAGUCGAGCGGCUUACUUUCCCCCUUCUCU